UGGUUUUAAAUAAAGGCAAGCGGAUGAACAAACCGCUCGCUCUCUGCUGCCACCCCAUGGCCGGUGGUGUGUAAAGCGAUCAGAGGGAGACCGCGGGGCGCUGUCUGUCACUACCCGAUCCAAUGACGUAUAUAUAGAGCUAGACCGCUCACUGGCCGCUGAGAGGCGGUAAAUAGGAGCUGACUUCCGGUAGUGGCAAGACGGGGAUUUCACAUUGGAACGCCAGCACGAUAUGUGACUUUGUGUUUCGUGAUUUACCAAGGUGGAUGUGGCUAAUAUCUGACCAUGGUGAAGUCGUGUGCUGCCAUCUCCUGCACCAAUCCAUUUGUAAUAUUUCCUUUCAUAAGUUUCCCAAGCAGUCCAAGGACAGCACACUGAGAGAUCAAUGCAUACAGGCCAUCAGUAGAGAAGCGGUGGGGACCAAGAGGAGAUGAUCAUAAUUAUGUCUGCAGCAACCAUUUCAGGGAGGAGGACUUCAUCCUUUCAAAACAUGCUCAACACAAGCUUCUCAGGCCAAGAGCUGUACCAUCCCUCAAUUUGGGGAAACCAGAGAAAAAGAUCGCAGUGAGGACAACCCAAAGCAGCCCGGCAGCAGUGGCAUUAUACCAGCACAUCGACAUGGAGCCUGAACAAGAGCCUGAAGAGGGCAGUGCUGCUGUUAGUGAAGACCAUACAUACUGUACGACAUCUAAUUGUACAGCAUGAAAAGCUGAGGCAGGACUUCAACAAUGCCAAAUGUAGAGAGAAGCGCUGCAGAGUGACGUUGGAGGCCAUGUUAGCUAAAACCAAGGAAAUACAAGCCCUGUCUGAUGAUGCUCAUUCCAUGCUUGAUGCAUAUAAAGGUAUUCCUUGUUUAGAAGUACAUAUGAGUGACAUCCAGCAUAUGUAAAUAUAAUUAUGUACCUGCACAUUGCUCACCCACACAGUGCACUAGAACUGAGAUCAAUGUUUGUUAAUGCUUCAUGAGAUGAUGACUGGUUCACAGAUAACUGUACUUUUGCCUUCCACAACAUUAUCUAAACAGUUUUGCGGCUGUGAUACCCAACAUUCAUGUGGAAACUAUCUAAGCUAUUAACUAUGUUUGAUCACACUUAAUUUUCAAUUACAGGUAAAUUGAUGUUGAUAGACCCUGUUUCUUUACCAGAAUAAUGUCAUUUGUUUGUAACUCCACAACACCUGAAAUUGGGACAUAUAUACAACACGCAUUUAGGUUGAAUAUUUAUGAAAAUUGCAAAUUAAACUCAAAGGGUUGACUGAACUUUGAUGGUUCCUCAUGAAGCAUGAUGUGCUGUAUAAAUGCUGUCUACAUACUGCAAUCUGCCUGAAAGUUUAUGUGAUUGAUCACAGUAGUGCAGUGAUGACAUCCAUAUGCCAAUGUGCACUCAGUCAUAGCGUCACCUGCUGUAGAGGAAAUUACAAGUUUUACACUUUAAUGUUGUACUAUACUUUUAAUAAAUUUAUCUGCACUUUUUUUCAUUUACUUUAAAUUAACUUCUUUUCUAUUGGUUGUUGCAAUUAGUGUUUGACAUGCUUUUAUUUUUUCUAUUUCUUGUCUUCUUUUGGCUGUUUUACUCAAUCAGUUUUAAUUAUUCUAGAAAUGAGUGUCCAUUGUAUUCAAUGAACCUUUUCUGAUUAAAGUGACUUCAUUUUUUAUUACACUA